rnacentral:rRNA from 1 species
UACGUAGGGGGCGAGCGUUGUCCGGAUUUAUUGGGCGUAAAGAGCGUGUAGGCGGCCGCACAGGUCCGUUGUGAAAACUGGAGGCUUAACCUUCAGACGUCGAUGGAAACCGUGCGGCUAGAGUCCGGAAGAGGAGAAUGGAAUUCCUGGUGUAGCGGUGAAAUGCGCAGAUAUCAGGAAGAACACCCGUGGCUAAGGCGGUUCUCUAGUACGGUACUGACGCUGAGACGCGAAAGCGUGGGGAGCGAACAGG